rnacentral:other from 1 species
UGCCUGCGGUGUGCGUUGACUGUUUAUUUUAAGCCUACAUUAAUUAUACGGGAAUGAUGCUCGAAGCCCUGUGAGCAAGCCGUACCGGCAUUUUGCCUGAUACGGAAGCCUGUGAAGGGUGACGGCGAACUCCCACCUGUGACUUUUCGCAGGGAUUAAAGUAUGCGGUUGACGGCAUACGCGGGUU